rnacentral:tRNA from 1 species
GCAGUAACAUGGUGGUUCAGUUGGUUAGAGCAUGGUGCUGAUAACGCCACGGUUGCAGGUUCGAUCCCUGUAUGGGAUGACUGCA